rnacentral:misc_RNA from 1 species
AGCUGAUUUGUGGCAAUUCAAGGAGGCAAUCGAGGUUCACAAGAAAGAAAAGCUUGACGAGGGCGUCAAGGGCUCUGGUAGGGGAGAUUGUAAGCCCCCAAGUGGUAGGCGUGCCAAAAAGCCCAAAACUGCCCAAGCAAGUCAGGUGGCACAAGUGCAGACUUGCGGAAAUUUCUAGAACCUUGUGGAUGGUUGUAGGGCAUGCUGGAGCAUGCUAGAAAAUUUUGGGCAGUAGGCUGGACGUGUUGAGCAAUUGGCUAGCUGAUGAUGGGCUGGAGUUGGCUUGGUAGAAGGAGUUUGGG